AGUGAAGAUCAGACUGCCCUUAAACCACCUGACCCCAUGUGAUCUGAGCAGUAAGCAGGGUCAGGCCUGAUGAGUACUUAGUACUUAAUCCCUGGAUGGAAGAAGAAGUCUGUGAAGGGCGAAGCACGUCCAUAA
rnacentral:rRNA from 1 species